GAUGAAGAACGUAGCAAAAUGCGAUAAGUAAUGUGAAUUGCAGAAUUCAGUGAAUCAUCGAAUCUUUGAACGCACAUUGCGCCCGCUGGUAUUCCGGCGGGCAUGCCUGUUCGAGCGUCAUUUCAACCCUCAAGCCCCCGGGUUUGGUGUUGGGGAUCGGCUCUGCCCUUCUGGGCGGUGCUGCCCCCGAAAUACAUUGGCGGUCUCGCUGCAGCCUCCAUUGCGUAGUAGCUAACACCUCGCAACUGGAACGCGGCGCGGCCAUGCCGUAAAACCCCAACUUCUGAAUGUUGACCUCGGAUCAGGUAGGAAUACCCGCUGAACUUAAGCAUAUCAAUAAGCGGAGGA
rnacentral:misc_RNA from 1 species